rnacentral:rRNA from 1 species
AGAGAGAGACAUGCGCGCAUAUCAAUAAGCGGAGGAAAAGAAACUAACAAGGAUUCCCCUAGUAACGGCGAGUGAAGCGGGAAGAGCUCAAAUUUGAAAUCUUAAAGGGUUUCCCUUUACGAAUUGUAGUUUAAAGAAGUGUUUUCUGUUGAGGUUUUGGUAAAAGUUCUUUGGAAUAGGACAUCAUAGAGGGUGAGAAUCCCGUAUUUGACCUUUACUUUCAACUUUGUGAUACACUUUCAAAGAGUCGGAUUGUUUGGGAAUGCAGUCCAAAAUGGGUGGUAAAUUUCAUCUAAAGCUAAAUAUUGGCGAGAGACCGAUAGCGAACAAGUACCGUGAGGGAAAGAUGAAAAGAACUUUGAAAAGAGAGUUAAACAGUACGUGAAAUUGUCAAAAGGGAAGCGUUUGACACCAGUGUUGUUUUUCUGAAAAUCAAUUAAAGAACUGUUUAUACUAAGCUGUUUAGACUUUAUCAGCUAUACUGUUUAGUUCUGAGCUUUUCUUUAAUGCACUUUUCAGUUAACAAGUCAACAUCAAUUUCUUUUGCUGUAAAAAAGCUUGAGGAAGGUGGCUUGAGAUUCGUCUUAAGUGUUUAUAGCCUCUUGCCUAUGCAGUCGGAGAGAUUGAGGUCUGCAGCGUAGAUCCUUCGGGGCUAAAUGCAUUUGUGCCUAAGUUAUAGCAUUUUAUAGACAACUUGUUGACUAUGAUUUGUCUUGUAGCUUACUCGCUUAUGUUAUUUUACCUACGCUUAGGAUGUUGAGCGCAUGUCUCUCUCU